rnacentral:rRNA from 1 species
UACGUAGGGUGCAAGCGUUGUCCGGAAUUAUUGGGCGUAAAGAGCUCGUAGGCGGUCUGUCGCGUCUGCUGUGAAAACUCGGGGCUUAACCCCGGGCCUGCAGUGGGUACGGGCAGACUAGAGUGCGGUAGGGGAGACUGGAAUUCCUGGUGUAGCGGUGAAAUGCGCAGAUAUCAGGAAGAACACCAAUGGCGAAGGCAGCUCUCUGGGACGGUACUGACGCUGAGACGCGAAAGCGUGGGGAGCAAACAGG